GCCCGACUAACUCAGUCGGUAGAGUGUCAGACUUUUACGGCUUGUUCUCCGUAAUCUGACAGCCGUGGGUUCGAGCCCCACGUCGGGCU